GGCUCAGUGGUUUAGAGGUAAAGCGUUCGCACACAAAACCAAAGGUCAUGGGUUCGAGUCCCACAUGCC
rnacentral:tRNA from 1 species